rnacentral:rRNA from 1 species
UACAGAGGCCUCGAGCGUUAGGCGGAAUCACUGGGCUUAAAGCGUGUGUAGGCGGACUUCUAAGUACCUUGUGAAAUCCCACAGCUUAACUGUGGAACUGCUUGGUAUACUGGUUGUCUUGAGGUACCUAGGGGCGAGCGGAACAAGUGGUGGAGCGGUGAAAUGCGUAGAUAUCACUUGGAACGCCAACGGUGAAAACAGCUCGCUGGGGGUAUCCUGACGCUGAGACACGAAAGCCAGGGGAGCAAACGGGG